rnacentral:rRNA from 1 species
AACACGUGGGAACGUGCCCUUUGGUUCGGAACAACCCAGGGAAACUUGGGCUAAUACCGGAUACGCCCUAACGGGGAAAGGUUUAUCGCCGAAGGAUCGGCCCGCGUCUGAUUAGCUAGUUGGUGGGGUAAUGGCCCACCAAGGCGACGAUCAGUAGCUGGUCUGAGAGGAUGAUCAACCUCACUGGGACUGAGACACGGCCCAGACUCCUACGGGAGGCAGCAGUGGGGAAUAUUGGACAAUGGGCGCAAGCCUGAUCCAGCCAUGCCGCGUGGGUGAUGAAGGCCCUAGGGUUGUAAAGCCCUUUCGGCGGGGAAGAUAAUGACGGUACCCGCAGAAGAAGCCCCGGCUAACUUCGUGCCCAGCAGCCGCGGUAAUACGAAGGGGGCUAGCGUUGCUCGGAAUCACUGGGCGUAAAGCGC